rnacentral:rRNA from 1 species
UACGUAGGUGGCAAGCGUUACUCGGAAUUACUGGGCGUAAAGGGUGCGUAGGUGGUUGUUUAAGUCUGCUGUGAAAGCCCCGGGCUCAACCUGGGAAUGGCAGUGGAUACUGGACAGCUAGAGUGCGGUAGAGGGUAGUGGAAUUCCCGGUGUAGCAGUGAAAUGCGUAGAGAUCGGGAGGAACACCAGUGGCGAAGGCGGCUACCUGGACCAGCACUGACACUGAAGCACGAAAGCGUGGGGAGCAAACAGG